CCAGACGCUCGCCUAAAUCAACCGCUCGGAUCACGAAGCCAUGCGAAUUUCCACAUUGAGAAUAUAUGAGGAGACUCAGGAAAAGGAUCAUCAAAGCAUGCUCCAACAGUAAAGAUGACAAAAAGUAACAGGACAAGCCAGCAGUAAAGCUGGAAAAACUGACGACCAAUUGACCUGGAAUGAGACAAUUUGUGAUGAUGGACUAGGCACUGCUUAUAAAGUUUCUGUCUCUGGUUUUAUUGGGCACUUGAUUAUUUAAUAUUUUUAGCCUUUUUUCUUUCUUUACUCAAAAUCUUGUCUGGUGAGGUGCUUUUUUAUUCCCCUGUUAUGCUUGUGCUUUCUAAGGCAUUAGAAUCCAAAAACCUCUCUUGUCAACUGGAAAACCCCAUGUUAGCCCACUUCUUUUGCUUUUCUUUAGAAUAAUAACAAAACUUUUUAUUCACAGAAACUGAAAAGAAUUACUAUUCAAAAGUGGGGAAAAACAAGCCCCUUGAAAAUGGAAGUAACUUACCAAAGAGAGUUCAUAUUAGUAAAAGGCUGUAUGGUUGUAUAGUUGCAAAUAAAACAAGGGUAUGUGCACUCCAAUUUUGGAAACAAUGACAUUUACCCAAAAAAAAAAA